AUGGGUCCUAACAUGGGUCCGAACGGAACGUUACUCACAAUCACAAUAUCUGAACUAUAGCAUUCGUUUAGCGCGAUUUGCGAAUUGCUGCAGCUAGCGUACAUGUAUAUACGGAUAUAUAUAUAUAUGUAUAUAUAUUGUCGGCUUGGCACAGGCGUGUGUGCGAGUUUAAAACAUGGCUUUUGGCUUUUGUUGGUUAUUUGGAAGUUGACAUAAACGAGUAUAUUUAUGGUGGGGUUUAAUUGGAUUUUUGGAGAGUGCGGGUGAGUGGUUAAACACGUCAAAAGCAGCAUCUCGCAGUUCGCAGCUCAGCGGUUCGAAUGACUCACGAAAACAGGAAUCGGUAAUCGGUAUCGGUAUCAGUAGCGUUAUCGGUUUUCGUUAUCGAUUCGAUUCGAUCGGUCUCGAUUGUUUCGAUUGUGCAGAAUUUGGUGGUGGGCAAGCGGCGCAAGCUGAAAGCCCCAGGCAGGCGGGCAUUGGUUAUAUCGAUAUUGCUGAUUGAUUGUUUGAUUUUGGUUUGGAUUGACUGGGUUAAAACAUCAACAUGCAGUACUGGAAUUUUGAGUUUGUACAGAGUUCUAAUGGGUAUCGCUUUGGUUACACAUCGAUAAAAAUAAUUUGAAAAACUAAUAACCAAUAAAGUUAAGAAAAUGAUAAUAGAAAUAUGUCUAGGAAGUUUUGAAACUAAGAUCAUAAAACCAUUGGAUUAAAUUUUCAGAUUGGAAUUCUAUUUUUCAUCUUUGUUUAAACAAAAAUGUUAUUAAAUCAAAAUUGACACAAACUAAAUAAUAAAGCUUGGCGCAUGGAUACCUAUAUAAACACAGAUCCACAACAUCGAGGAUGCGGAAAAGGGCUUUUCCCGCGAACAUGCCUCAAAACGAAAGUAACUGAAACGAGCAAGGGGAGGGGAUUUCGAGCAGCGAGUGCGGACUUGUGGAUGUUCCUCCAGGGAACUGGAAAACAAACGACAUUAACACUUUACGCACAACAUCGAAGGCAACAUCUGCAACGCAACGGCUUGGAUUCCGGCAUUGACACAGAUACUUAUCAAGACACAUUGAACGUUCAAAAGAGGAAGUUUGCAAAAACAUUCCAAAUGAAAACGAAAAGUCGGAAACAAAAAAUUCAAAAGGUAGACUGGAGUAAGCAAAGCAAACGUUUCGACUUACCGUCACUGAAGUAGCCUCUAUUUCGGUUCUUCUUCUCGAAGCUGCGCAGAUCCUCGGGCGAAAAGUUGGCAAAGCUCUGAUUCAGAGCCACAAUGUGCAUGGAAAAGCCAAACACAAAGAUGGCCAGGACGGCCAAAAACCGCGCGAGAUCCUUUAGCAGAUCCCCAAUGAUGAUGGCCCAGGGUCCGAAGAGGUGGUGGAAGGACAAGAAGUCCAGAAUCUGCACGCAGGCCAGCAGGAAGGCCAACGCGAAGCACUGAUUUCGGCAAUAUACCAAAGUUGGCCAGUACUCCUUGGAGACGAA